GCCAGCACCUAAGCUUUUUCAUCAUAGUACACGCGCUGCUGAUGAUGUGACAAUAAAACUGCAGAUAAGCAGGGCUGCGCCCGGUCAGUUCCUGGAUGGGAGACCACAUGGGAAAGCUAGGUUGCUGCGGGAA
ensembl:rRNA 5S_rRNA 5S ribosomal RNA